CGCAACGCUACUCUGUUUACCAGGUCAGGUCCGGAAGGAAGCAGCCAGAGCAGACGACGUGUGUGCCGGGAUGUAGCUGGCAGGG
rnacentral:SRP_RNA from 4 species